rnacentral:rRNA from 1 species
UACGUAGGGUGCAAGCGUUGUCCGGAAUUAUUGGGCGUAAAGAGCUCGUAGGCGGUUGUCGCGUCUGCUGUGAAAACCCGCAGCUCAACUGUGGGCCUGCAGCCGAUACGGGCGGGCUAGGAUUCGGUAGGGGAGACUGGAAUUCCUGGUGUAGCGGUGAAAUGCGCAGAUAUCAGGAGGAACACCGGUGGCGAAGGCGGGUCUCUGGGCCGAUAUCGACGCUGGAGGAGCGAAAGCGUGGGGGCGAACAGG